UACAAGUCUACAACCAACCGCUAAGGUUCCGGAAGGUGGAGGCGCCACCACUUCACCACCACCGGAAAGCACUCAAAUUACCGAAACACCCUUCACAAAGCCACAGAUGCAAAACCCAGUAUGGCGAGUAACACCCACUAAGGUAUAUUCCUUUUUGGGUCCGCCAUUUCUCGAUCAUCCUUGGUCGAAACUCAUCAUUCAGUCUACCAGGAGGCUUAGCAGAAGGAGCAGGAAGGGGGAGAGAGACAGUGGGCGGUCAGGGCAACGCCUUGUUCUUCUAUGAAUACAACGUAUUCCUCUACCGAUGACAAUGGUGCUCUUUGCGCUUUCAAGCCGAGUGAGUCCACGUUUUUGGCUUCUCUUAUGCCUAAGAAGGAGAUUGCUGCUGAUCGAUUCGCCAUGGCGCAUCCUAGAGUACGAUGGCCGUGGGGUUGUUAUGGCUAUUUUUGGUAAUUUAAUAUUUUCUUUUGGGUGGUUUGGGGCCCGUUUGGGUGAUGAGGAAGUGAUGGGAAAUGGGAAAAGAUUUCUGGGUUUAUGGGAAGUGGGAAAGGGACACUAGGUGGGAUAUGGGUGUUAUCAUUUUUUCUUUUUUGGGGGUCUGUUUCUGUUUGGGUCCUGAGAAUGUGGUGGAAAAUGAAAGAUAAUUUUUUUGGGGGUUUUAUGUUGUUUUGGUUAAGCUAUCAGACGUAAACCUUCAGCCUUUUUCAUGGUGUCUUGAAAAUGUUGUUCAUGCUAAAACUUAGGAGUCGAAUGUUGGAGGUGCUUAUCUCUUGAGUUGUGCUGGAUUGUAUAUCUGAUCUUAAAGUGUUGUUUUUCCCCAGAUUCUGGUAUAGACCCAGUGGCAAACCGAAGAUCCUUGAUGUUCUGGAUUGGUAUUUUAAAACUACAUGAUCAUAGAAUCCAUGGUUUUUAGAACUUAUCCUUAGUUAAGGUAUUCUUACAACAAUAUUUCAGAGUAAUUUUUCCUUUCCAGCACUGGCAAUGGAGAUAUUGAUACCUUGGGUCCUUGACUCUGGUGAAGGUUGAUUCAGACGGUUGUCUUCGUGGAGAAUCCACCCGUAUCAUAACUUUGAGCAUGAAAAUAAGCCUGAAACUUGUUUAUCUGUCUGAUCUUUCCAAAUUUUCAAAUGGGCAUCUCUGGUUGUAAAUUCUUUGUGGAAGAACCCUUAUGGGGAAUGGCAUGCGGGUUAUAAAUUCGUUUAUGAGCCUUUUACAGAGACAUUGACUUCCCAUUUGAAAAAAGAAAGGAGGAAAAAGUGGGAUGAAAGGCAUCAGGAAUCAAUAGCUGAGGAAACGCAUUAAAGUGGAGGAUGCAUAGUUGAAAAGGGCUUGUGAAGACCCUCCAAAACAGGGUUGACUGCCCUUCGGAAACAGGCUGAAGUGAGCUUGGAGUGUUUUGGAUUACUUUUCUCUUCUAGUCCUCUUGACCAUUUUAUUGUUUCAAUUCCAAGUAACCAUGUUUGUAUGUUUUAGAGCUAUGAUGACAAAGGACCUAUUAUAGAUGCUGCUGUCUGGAAUGAUAGAGAACUAUGGAGGAACUUUCUGAUUUUGUACCCCUAACUAAUUAUAGGAUUGAAAGAAAGUUUGCCAUAUUUAGCAAACUAGAUGCUUGCUCAUUUGUCGAUUAUGUAUAUGAUCAAGGCAAUAUCUUGAGUGUUGUCGCUGA